rnacentral:rRNA from 1 species
AGUGAACGCUGGCGGUAGGCCUAACACAUGCAAGUCGAACGGCAGCACAGUAAGAGCUUGCUCUUACGGGUGGCGAGUGGCGGACGGGUGAGGAAUACAUCGGAAUCUACUUUUUCGUGGGGGAUAACGUAGGGAAACUUACGCUAAUACCGCAUACGACCUACGGGUGAAAGCAGGGGAUCUUCGGACCUUGCGCGAUUGAAUGAGCCGCUGUCGGAUUAGCUAGUUGGCGGGGUAAAGGCCCACCAAGGCGACGAUCCGUAGCUGGUCUGAGAGGAUGAUCAGCCACACUGGAGCUGAGACACGGUCCAGACGCCUACGGGAGGCAGCAGUGGGGAAUAGUGGACAAUGGGCGCAAGCCUGAUCCAGCCAUACCGCGUGGGUGAAGAAGGCCUUCGGGUUGUAAAGCCCUUUUGUGGGGAAAGAAGAGCAGCAGGUUAAUACCCCGCUGUUCUGACGGUACCCAAAGAAUAAGCACCGGCUAACUUCGUG